rnacentral:rRNA from 1 species
CUCCUAUGGGAGGCAGCAGUGGGGAAUAUUGCACAAUGGGCGAAAGCCUGAUGCAGCGACGCCGCGUGAGGGAUGACGGCCUUCGGGUUGUAAACCUCAUUCAGCAGGGAAGAAGCGAAAGUGACGGUACCUGCAGAAGAAGCGCCGGCUAACUACGUGCCAGCAGCCGCGGUAAUACGUAGGGCGCAAGCGUUGUCCGGAAUUAUUGGG